GAAUGUUGAAGCUGUCUGAGUGCACACUGAUCCAGGAUUCAUUUCUCUGUAAGAGAGCUGAAGAAAUGAAAAUGACAACACAAAGACUUAAUUACUUAAUAAAGCCUUUAAAAGAUGGGAGACCACAGCAUGUGCAGAAAAUGAUGUAGGAUCAGCAAUUUUAGCCUGAAGAAGACUACGUUUUUGAAACAUUUUAAUACCAACCAUAUUGUCAAUCAAAAAAUGUAUCAGUCUGCAACAUUCCAUCUAUGCCUUGGGCCUCAUAUUCCAGAAAUGAC